rnacentral:lncRNA from 1 species
GGAAGCAUGCUGAAUAAGAAGAAUGUUCAAGCCAUCUUCUCUGAGAUCUUUCCUGUCCCUCAAGCACAUGAAGACAGAAAGCAAAGAAGAUUCUGCAAGUGAAUCACUGGCUAGGUAAGUGGUGAGUACAAGCACCCCAGAUUCACUUUUAACUUGCAUCUUCUUGUUAAAUACUUGUCUUGCUAUAUACACAUCUCUUCCAUGCUCUCAGCAAUGGGGUAUUCCCUCUGAUUCAGCAGAGAAGAGUGCAAGGUGAACAAGUAAAGGUGAGGGAAUUAUUGGACAGUAAGCUGGUGUGAGUGUAAGGUGUCUGUCUAACUGAGUCUAAGGGUAUGCUGACAUUGGAGCUGGAGGUGUAAUUCCCAGUUCAGGUAGACAUACCCACACUAGCUCUGAUCAAGCUAGCAUGCUAAUAGCAGUGUAGCCACAGAGGUGCAAUCAGUGGGAUGGGCAGCCGGCCUGAGUACAAUCCUGUCUGAGACCCUAGGUAUGUACUCAGGCAGCUAGCACUUCCUGCUGCCGUGGCUACACUUCUAAUUUUAGCAGGCUAGCUCUAUCAGAGUUAGCACAGGUAUGUCUCCUUGAGCUGGAAAUUGCACCGUCCAGCUCCUGUGAAGACGAACCCUAAGACAGCCUAAGUCUACUUGAUGUACCUGAGACAUUGAGAUGCCCAGAUGGAUAUAUACAUUACACUUUUUAUUCACCUCUAUUCUCUGUCCACAGUUCUCAUCCACCGGGUAGAAACUCUCCCACCAUAUGCUCAACAGGCAAUCAGGAGGCCUCUGUCUGCUCCCACUAGUAGAUCUGAGUGGGGCAGAGCAGCCAGGAGGAGGCGACAAGCAACAGUGGCAGCAGCAGCAGCAGCAACAAGUGGAGUCUACAAGGACAGAAGGUCAGAGGGGCCCAGUACUAGCCUGAAGCAGAACAUGCAACUCUUCAGAAGCUCCAUCAAAUUCACAGUGAGUUGAUGGAGCUGGCCGACCAAGUAUAAAAGGGUUCUCUAUCUCACAGAAGAGAUCCAACUGGAAGGCCAUGGAUCAAGCUUCCACAUCCAACUGAGAGAUCACUUGUCUGCAUCACCAAACCUUUGCAAAAAUUCAGAUGCACUCUGCAGGAUUCACCUCUGGAAGACACUAUUUCAUAUUUAAAUUAAUCUAGACUCAACUGGAAUAUUCCUUCAUCACCAGUCAUUUGAUUAUUGCUGGCUGGUAAAAGUCACCUUAAAUUUUAUAUCCACACAGGUGUGAUAUUGUUGGAAUAAGCUACAUGGACUUGUUAUAAACUGUACACGCAUAUGACAAAUUUAUCACUCACCUUUGACCACAUCACCUGCUCUCUGUGCAAUAAUCCAUCUCCCUAGGACUUAUUGCAAUAUUCCAAACAGCUGCCUUUUUAAAAACUCCAUCUCCAAGAGAAAUUUUCUUCCAAAAUGUAGAAUUCCCUCCAAUAUAUGAUGCCUGCCAAAGGACCAGGACAGGCAAGAUUCAGUCCUGGGUAAGUGCCAGCUUCAAAGUUGUGACAUUUUAUGUAGAGAGAAGCUAUUUUAGGCUAUUUUAGGAUGUGUUUUGCAAUGAUAGCUUUUAAAUAUUUUCCUCUGAGCCUUGAACAAUUAGUAACUAAGGGCCUGAUUCGAGCUCACUGAAGUCACUGAAAAGACUAUCAUUGAUGUCAGUGGGCUUUGGCUCAGGCCUUAGGCUUCUAGCUCUACAGAUAGAAGGAAAUACAUACAUUGUAUAAGGGCCAGAUUCACAAAAGGGGACUUAUGCAUAGUUGUCUCCUAGUGGAAUUCAAAAACCCGAGUUUGGAUCCUAGGAUCUCUAUACAAUGCAUGGGGAGAGUUAGAAGCCUAAAAAUAGGAUUCACAAAAAACGGUAUGCUGAGCAGUGAUCCACCCAAGCUAGCCACUAGUAAAUGCUGAGGAUGGGGUAUGGCCUAAGCCUGCCCCUUUCGGGAAAUUAGAGCCUACGACUGGGCCAGAGGCACUUAUCUCUGCUGUGAACUCUCUCAUGGAGUUAUGCGCCUAAGCUGUUUUUUGCAAGAAAUGCCACCACAGCAGCAGAACAUCCUUCUCCCUCUCCACCAAUAACCUUUAUCCCAGUGGUUGGGGCACUCUCCCAGAAGGUGGGAAACCUUGGUUCAAUUCUUCCUCUCCCUGAUGUGGAGCAGCAAUUUGAAAUUGGGUCUCCCAUCUCUCAGGAGAGUGCCCUAACCACUGAAUAAUGGGAUAUUUCAGUGAGGGUUCCUCUCAUGGAAGCUAUUCCACUCUGUAUAAAUAGUUAAAUAUUAAUUGAGGUAGGGAGAGCAGUUAGGCACUCACCUAAGAAGUGGGAGACCCAAGUUCAAAUCCCUUCUUCACAUUAGGCAGAAGGGAAAACUGAACACAAGUCUUCCACAUCCCAGGUGAAUGAUCUAUCCCCCAGGCAAAGAUUAUUAAAGGGACCACUGCUGCCACGUCCCCCUCCCUGUCUCCCCCCCAUGUUCUGAGCAUGUCUACCAGAUUGAGCCCCAACAUCAAGGUAAAUGGGGAAUACCUAAUUUGUGAAUGGCAUUGAGUGUUAGGUGCUGAGUUGCUGGGCGGUGCCAGAAGUUAGACUGCUGUGCACAUGUUCAGCUGCUGAAAUCUAGUCACCUCAUUGACUUUAACAGUGGAAACGCCUAGGGAAUUUAUGCACCUCUAGAGUUAGAUGGCAGCUGAGCAGGAGUUUUGUGAAUGCCAGUGGCACUUAAGUUUGUAUUUACAUGACUUAAGUGGCAGUUGUCUGUCCAAGUCCUUUUGUGAUUCUAGCCCUAAGUGUCCAAAUUACUUUGAAAUUGGUACUUAGGCACUUUUGAAAGUGUUACCCUAAUGGACUUAUCCAUGAUCAUAGAACUCCUGACAGUGAAGAAAAGAACCUAUGAGUCCAGACUCCCAGUCCUCUAACUACUGAUCAAACUGCCUAUCAUAGUUGAACCUGACAAUCUUUCAGAAUUUCAAUAAAUGCUGAUUUUGCAUUAUUCA